UACGUAGGGAGCAAGCGUUGUCCGGAAUCAUUGGGCGUAAAGCGCGCGUAGGCGGCCCUGUAAGUCCGAUGUGAAAGUCAAAGGCUCAACCUUUGAAAGCCGAUGGAUACUGCAGGGCUAGAGUCCGGAAGAGGCGAGUGGAAUUCCUGGUGUAGCGGUGAAAUGCGCAGAUAUCAGGAGGAACACCGAUUGCGAAGGCAGCUCGCUGGGACGUUACUGACGCUGAGACGCGAAAGCGUGGGGAGCAAACAGG
rnacentral:rRNA from 1 species